UAGGGAAUCUUCGGCAAUGGGGGCAACCCUGACCGAGCAACGCCGCGUGAGUGAAGAAGGUUUUCGGAUCGUAAAGCUCUGUUGUAAGUCAAGAACGAGUGUGAGAGUGGAAAGUUCACACUGUGACGGUAGCUUACCAGAAAGGGACGGCUAACUACGUGCCAGCAGCCGCGGUAAUACGUAGGUCCCGAGCGUUGUCCGGAUUUAUUGGGCGUAAAGCGAGCGCAGGCGGUUUGAUAAGUCUGAAGUUAAAGGCUGUGGCUCAACCAUAGUUCGCUUUGGAAACUGUCAAACUUGAGUGCAGAAGGGGAGAGUGGAAUUCCAUGUGUAGCGGUGAAAUGCGUAGAUAUAUGGAGGAACACCGGUGGCGAAGGCGGCUCUCUGGUCUGUAACUGACGCUGAGGCUCGAAAGCGUGGGGAGCGAACAGGAUUAGAUACCCUGGUAGUCCACGCCGUAAACGAUGAGUGCUAGGUGUUGGAUCCUUUCCGGGAUUCAGUGCCGCAGCUAACGCAUUAAGCACUCCGCCUGGGGAGUACGACCGCAAGGUU
rnacentral:rRNA from 1 species